rnacentral:rRNA from 1 species
GGGAGGCUUUCAUGGNCAGUCGAGGGGCAUCGGGAGGGAAGCUUACUUUCCUUGCCGGCGACCGGCGCACGGGUGAGUAACACGUAUGCAACCUGCCCUCUUCAGGGGGACAACCUUCCGGAAGGGAGGCUAAUCCCGCGUAUAUCGGUUUCGGGCAUCCGUUAUCGAGGAAAGAUUCAUCGGAAGAGGAUGGGCAUGCGGCGCAUUAGCUAGACGGCGGGGUAACGGCCCACCGUGGCGACGAUGCGUAGGGGUUCUGAGAGGAAGGUCCCCCACACUGGUACUGAGACACGGACCAGACUCCUACGGGAGGCAGCAGUGAGGAAUAUUGGUCAAUGGGAGAGAUCCUGAACCAGCCAAGCCGCGUGAGGGAAGAUGGCCCUAUGGGUUGUAAACCUCUUUUGUCGGAGAACAAAACCCGGGACGUGUCCCGGACUGCGUGUAUCCGAAGAAAAAGCAUCGGCUAACUCCGUGCCAGCAGCCGCGGUAAUACGGAGGAUGCGAGCGUUAUCCGGAUUUAUUGGGUUUAAAGGGUGCGUAGGCGGUCUGUUAAGUCAGCGGUAAAAUUGCGGGGCUCAACCCCGUCGAGCCGUUGAAACUGGCAGACUUGAGUUGGCGAGAAGUACGCGGAAUGCGCGGUGUAGCGGUGAAAUGCAUAGAUAUCGCGCAGAACUCCGAUUGCGAAGGCGGCGUACCGGCGCCAGACUGACGCUGAGGCACGAAAGCGUGGGGAUCGAACAGGAUUAGGUA